GGCUGACAAAAGGACUUUGAAUGGACCCUUGGUUAAGGAUCCAUUCUCUGUGUUGCACCACAAACAGACCCCUGACAUCACUGACCAUCUGGAGGGAAAGAACCCCAUUGGCUGAGUCUUGCGAGAUCCAACCUUGUUGCAGGCAGGCCGCUGUGGUCAGAGACAGCUUCUCCCUGAAGUGUGCCAAUUCCCCUGUGAGAAUGAGCGUGUGUGCCAGAAAACAUUCAUUGUUUUUUGACCAUCCCCCAAAAGAUUGAGGAUUGUCCAGGUAAACCUGGCACAAAACAUCCCCUCGCCCAAAGCCCCAACAUUUCAUGAUUGAAAAGGCACAGCGGCGCCACAUCUUCAUCCGACGUGGAGGACAGACGGAGGAACUCUCUGGUACAUCUGGAGUAGCCGUUGUGGGUCAGCAGGGCCUUCCUCACUGUGAAGAAGGACACCGUCUUCUCCAAGAUGUCCGACGCUGGGAUUCCAUUCUGCAGGUGUUCUCCGAUCAGAACCCUCAGCUUCUCCACUCCAGUGGAGCACUUUCUCUCUAGCAUGUGGAGUUUACACCUGGGAGGGGAGAGAACGCCAUUAGAAAUGCAGAACUGAGUAACAGCGUUAAACUGACAUAAUAAUUGGAGUCAUUUGACUCUUUAAAUAGCUUAAGAAUCAGAUUUAACCAUAAUCUGCCAGUUGCUGUGGAUACUCAAUAUGCAAUUUUUUCUGGGAAGCAACUAGGUUAUAAAAUGAAAUGCUUACCGAAAGAGCUGUUCCUUAAUGGUGCCUUGCAGGUCCAUAUCAGAGUAGGGAGCCAUUUUAGAUAUUGGUCUUGAGUUUGCAGUUAUUUGUAAAAAGGAUAAAACGCUCAAGAAAUAUCCAGCAAUUCAGUGGAGGUGGAGGCUGCAGUUGCUUCUGAAGAUGUUCUGUGUCUAGAUUGGUUUCCUCGUGCUGCCUUUAUGCUCCUCAUCCAGCAUGAGCUUGGCUGCUCAGCCAAUCAGGAGGCCCAGAGUCAGGGACAAUGGCCUGAAUUUAAUGGAUGACACAGAGAACAGGUGGAAUGUUGUUCUCAAUGGCAUAUGUCAAUGUGUUUGGGCAACAUCUUCCAUGGGAAAAAGGCCUGGGCCAGUUCUAUUGUCACGGAUAUUUAACAAAUAAUACAAAUCUGUAUAUUUUUGUAUUUAAGUUAUGAAUUUGGUGUGGCACAAAAAAUACCCCAAAAUGCUAAAAUAUUCUGGCUGUCAAAAUUGAUGUUAAACCAUGCAGUGGCAAUAUGGAUAAUAUGAAUGCCAUAGUUUAAAGUCAUUUACAUUUAACUUUAACUAUUAAAUUGAAUAAGAGUAUAACAUUUCAAAUAAUUUUGUCCAGUAUCUUUUCAUAAAUGAUAACCAGAUGGAACAGUGGUCUGUGUACUGUGUCCAGGUCACUACGGCCGACCCUGGGAACGGGCCCGGGGCUCAGAGAGCCGACACACUUCUAUUGUCUGGCAGCUGAGCAGGCUGCAUACACAAGUGUGGGAAGCCGUGUGUCGCCGUGGCUCCCAGCUCCGCAGAGAGUGGAGGGCGUGUGACGGGGGCACGCUCAGCCGCGCACGUUGGUGCUCAGAGAGCCAGCUGGGGCAGGAGGAAACGGGAGCCUGUGGCCCCAGACUGCAGCGUGUCAGACAGACGGACACGAUGAAUCACUGGAGGGGUCAAAAUGGAUAUGAUAUCUAAGGUCCCAUGGCUUAUACAGUACAUAUACUCCACCCCCCCUCAGUGUCCCAUGGCUUAUACAGUACAUAUACUCCACCCCACUCAGUGUCCCAUGGCUUAU
ensembl:lncRNA